ensembl:lncRNA novel transcript, antisense to PELI1
AACAGUUCUCAUUUUGUGUGCUCGGCUGACUGCACGUCCAGCCUCGGGCCAGCUCGAGACGGCCACAUUGUGAGUCUGUGGGAGGGGUUCUACCGAGACGAAUGGACUUUUCUGAGGCAGGGCCCAGGAGCUGUAAUUCGAGGGGCCUCAGAUCUCCCUGCCACCCACCUGCCAGGGCCUGGUUGAAGAUGGCUGAGCGUAAAACAGAAUGCAAGUCAGCUGGAGCACGUACUACUGGAGGCAGAGCCCCAUGAGAAGGGGCCAAGAACCCGCACCCAUCAAAAUCAAGAAGAAAGGCUGAACCCGGAGAGAAAAGGGAGCAACUGAUGUUGCCAUGCAGAUCCCUUGGUUGCUAUGAGAUGGUAACAUCACUCUGCCCCACCAUUGGCCAGUGCCUCCUCAGCUGCGGUGCCUCCCAGGCUGUGUGGUUCUCACGCGGGCCACUGACACAGAGCUGUUACUAUGGUGAACUUUACAAUUUCCUUUGAUUGGUGGAUUUCAGAAAUAGGCCAUCAGCGGAAUUCAUUAUAUUCAGCUAAAUGCUCUUCCAGAAAGAAAAGCCAGGAGUACUCCUGGCUGGAGGCGGCAUGCCUGAGGUCAGAGUCAAAGUAGGGUUUGUGCUGUCUGAAUCCUUUCUCCCACUCUCCCCAGCCUGGCUCAGCUUCUCAGCUUCUCAGGUGGAUUGGCCUCUGAGCCCAAGCCAAGCCAUCGCAUCCCCUGUGACUUGCCCGUAUAUAUGCCCAGAUGGCCUGAAGUAACUGAAGAAUCACAAAAGAAGUGAAUAUGCCUUGCCCCACCUUGACUGAUGACAUUCCACCACAAAAGAAGUGUAAAUGGCCGGUCCUUGCCUUAACUGAUGACAUUACCUUGUGAAAGUCCUUUUCCUGGCUCAUCCUGGCUCAAAAAGCACCCCCACUGAGCAUCUUGCGACUCCCACUCCUGCCCACUGAGCACCUUGUGACCCCCACUCCUGCCUGCCAGAGAACAAACCCCCUUUGACUGUAAUUUUCCUUUACCUACCCAAAUCCUAUAAAACGGCUCCACCCUUAUCUCCUUUUGCUGACUCUCUUUUCUGACUCAGCCCGCCUGCACCCAGGAGAUUAAAAGCUUUAUUGCUCACACAAA